rnacentral:rRNA from 1 species
GAUGAACGCUAGCGGGAGGCUUAACACAUGCAAGUCGAGGGGCAGCACGAGAUAGCAAUAUUUUGGUGGCGACCGGCGCACGGGUGAGUAACACGUAUGCAACCUACCCUGUACAGGGGGAUAACCCGGAGAAAUUCGGACUAAUAUCCCAUAAAGAUAAUGAUGGGCAUCCAUUAUUAUUUAAAGCCCAGGCGGUACGGGAUGGGCAUGCGGAACAUUAGCUAGUUGGUAGGGUAACGGCCUACCAAGGCUACGAUGUUUAUGGGACCUGAGAGGGUGAUCCCCCACACUGGUACUGAGACACGGACCAGACUCCUACGGGAGGCAGCAGUGAGGAAUAUUGGUCAAUGGGCGCGAGCCUGAACCAGCCAUCCCGCGUGAAGGAAGAAGGCGCUAUGCGUCGUAAACUUCUUUUCCAGGGAGUGAAUUUUCCGGUCGUGACCGGAAUUGACGGUACCCUGGGAAUAAGCAUCGGCUAACUCCGUGCCAGCAGCCGCGGUAAAAC